GCUGGUGUGGCAGAGCCUGGUAAUUGCCAAAGACCUAAGCUCUUUUUACAGGGGUUCAAAUCCCCUCACCAGUU
rnacentral:tRNA from 1 species